UACAGAGGGAGCGAGCGUUAAUCGGAGUGACUGGGCGUAAAGGGCACGUACGCGGCUAUGUUAGUCUGAUGUGAAAGACCUGGGCUUAACCUGGGAUGUGCAUUGGAAACGGCAUAGCUAGAGUAUGGGAGAGGGAAGGGGAAUUUCCGGUGUAGCGGUGAAAUGCGUAGAGAUCGGAAAGAACACUGGUGGCGACGGUGCCCACCUGGCCCAAAACUGACGCUGAGGUUCAGAAGCGUGAGGAGCUAAUAGG
rnacentral:rRNA from 1 species